GAUGAGCGCUGGCGGCGUGCCUAAUACAUGCAAGUCGAGCGAACGGACGAGAAGCUUGCUUCUCUGAUGUUAGCGGCGGACGGGUGAGUAACACGUGGAUAACCUACCUAUAAGACUGGGAUAACUUCGGGAAACCGGAGCUAAUACCGGAUAAUAUUUUGAACCGCAUGGUUCAAAAGUGAAAGACGGUCUUGCUGUCACUUAUAGAUGGAUCCGCGCUGCAUUAGCUAGUUGGUAAGGUAACGGCUUACCAAGGCAACGAUGCAUAGCCGACCUGAGAGCGUGAUCGGCCACACUGGAACUGAGACACGGUCCAGACUCCUACGGGAGGCAGCAGUAGGGAAUCUUCCGCAAUGGGCGAAAGCCUGACGGAGCAACGCCGCGUGAGUGAUGAAGGUCUUCGGAUCGUAAAACUCUGUUAUUAGGGAAGAACAUAUGUGUAAGUAACUGUGCACAUCUUGACGGUACCUAAUCAGAAAGCCACGGCUAACUACGUG
rnacentral:rRNA from 1 species